GUGAAUCAUCGAAUCUUUGAACGCAAAUUGCACUCUCUUCGGUGAGUAUGCGUGUUUUAGGGUCAGUAUUAAUAAAAAUCGGUGUGUUGCUGCUUUUUGACGCUCCGAAGUUUGGGUCAUCUUAAUGUCCUUUAGGUUUUAAGGGUCUUAAAGUUGACUUUUUUUGCGCUUUUUUGAUGUACAUAAGUUCUUUUUUUUAUUCGUCUGUCUUAAUGCUCAAAAUCCUGUUAACUGCGACUAUAUCGUGUGCUUUCGUGUCUAUAAAUUUUUCAUGAUUUG
rnacentral:misc_RNA from 1 species